rnacentral:rRNA from 1 species
AUUGAACGCUGGCGGCAGGCCUAACACAUGCAAGUCGAACGAGUGGCGGACGGGUGAGUAAUGUCUGGGAAAAUGCCCGAAGGAGGGGGAUAACUACUGGAAACGGUAGCUAAUACCGCAUACCAUCGGAUGUGCCCAGAUGGGAUUAGCUAGUAGGUGGGGUAACGGUUCACCUAGGCGACGAUCCCUAGCUGGUCUGAGAGGAUGACCAGCAACACUGGAACUGAGACACGUACCAGACUCCUACGUGAGGCAGAAGUGGGGAAUAUUGAACAAUGGGCGCAAGCCUGAUGCAGCCAGGCCGCGUGUAUGAAGAAGGCCUUCGGGUUGUAAAGUACUUUCAGCGAGGAGGCGUUACUCGCAGAAGAAGCUCCGGCUAACUCCGUGCCAGCAGCCGCGGUAAUUC